rnacentral:rRNA from 1 species
UACGUAGGGUGCGAGCGUUAAUCGGAAUUACUGGGCGUAAAGCGUGCGCAGGCGGUUUUGUAAGCCAGAUGUGAAAUCCCCGGGCUUAACCUGGGAAUGGCAUUUGGGACUGCAAGGCUGGAGUGCGGCAGAGGAGACUGGAAUUCCUGGUGUAGCAGUGAAAUGCGUAGAUAUCAGGAGGAAUACCGAUGGCGAAGGCAGGUCUCUGGGCUGACACUGACGCUCAUGCACGAAAGCGUGGGGAGCAAACAGGA